CUCUCUCUCCCUCAGGCUGGAAUUGUAUGAUUGUGAAGACAUCGCGAACCUUAAAGGUUGAGAAGUGAACGGAUUAUACGGCGAACUGAGACGACGUGAAAAAGGGGAUUGGAAGCGGCAUUGAUGUGAGUACUAAGAGCCAGUCGAAAGUGCCCUGUAUAUUGACCUGGCGUUGUGUAGAUCUCUCCAGGAGGAGGAGGGCGGCCCUACCCCUAAUAUAGCGUGGUGGGAGAGCCGAAGGAAUACUUAUUGAAGUAGUCACAACGACGACAUCACUAGCUAGGCCGCAUAUUCCAUCGCCAGAUCCGAACCAAGCGAAGUGAAGGAAGACGGGUGUCCUUUUCGUACACUGAGUGUGGUGGGUGAGUCUUCGUGCUGUGAAAACCUAUAAUUUUGACGUGGUGUUGUAUAUUGCUGUGGGCUGCUGUGUAUUGCCGUGUGUCCUGUCAGAUAAACCCCCGCCUUCACGCACUUCGUCGCGGGAGGACAAGGAGACUGCUGGUCCUAGCCUAGUUCAGUACAGUAUAUGUUGUGAGCGUGCUUCAGAUCUCCGGAGAUAGCACGGUACGCUGUGUCCAGCCCAGAGGUGAAAGCCAUCCAAAGCAGAGUAACUGUGCUUUGUGUCCAAGUUGAUACCUGUGGAGAGGAAAGGAAAGAGAGAGUGAGUAACACAAGGAGAACCAGAGGGAACCUGUACUUACAGUACGCUGUGUUCAGCCCAGAGGUGAGAGCCAUUCAAAGCAAACUAACUGUGCUAUUGUGCCCAAGUUGAUACCUGUGGAGAGAAAAGGAGAGAGAGGGAAUAACACGAGGAGGAAUAGAGCGAACCCUGUACUUACAGUACGCUGUGUCCAGCCCAGAGGUGAGAGCCAUUCAAAGCAAACUAACUGUGCUAUUGUGCCCAAGUUGAUACCUGUGGAGAGAAAAGGAGAGAGAGUGGGUAACACGAGGAGAGACCGAGGAAACCUGUACUUACGCCGCUGCCUGUGGAGAAAGAGAAAGCGACCGUUGCCUGUGGAGAAAGAGAAAGAGAGUGAGCACCCAGAGAACGAACUGUGUGAACCAGUACUUACUGUGAGCUGCAAUCAGCGAAGAGGUGAGAGCAAAACCAAGCCGAAUUAACUGUGCCUUUGUGUCCCAGCCGUUGCCUGUGGAGGAAGAGAAAGAGAGUGAGCACCCCGAGAACGAACUGUGUGAACCAGUACUUACCGUGAGCUGUAUUCAGCGAAGAGGAGGAAGAAGGAGGGCGCUACGGAUACCUAAGACUCAGGCCGGGGCCCGAGUCCCACGCCCCGGAUCCCCGUGGCCCCCUUGCUCCCUGACCUCUUCCCGGCCAUAGCCCAUCUGGAGGGCCGAGUCAGAGUUUAGUUUUAAUUGCCCUUUCCCUAUUCCCCAAGCUAUUUUUAAAUAUUUAAAUAAAGAUUGUUUUAUCACUUACUUGUUCUCGUGU
ensembl:lncRNA